GCUCUUCUAGUAUACUAAUUACAAUUGACUUCCAAUCUAUAGAAUCUGGUGCAAACCCAGAGAAGAGCA
rnacentral:tRNA from 5 species